rnacentral:tRNA from 4 species
CAGCGUGUAGCCGUCGGGUGCGGCGCGCGCGGUUUCCUGCGCGGCGACGAUGGUGGCGGCGCCGGGGCGGUUCUCCACCACCACGGGCUGGCC